rnacentral:rRNA from 1 species
GACGAAGGGGGCUAGCGUUGUUCGGAAUUACUGGGCGUAAAGAGCGCGUAGGCGGUCUGGUAAGUUGGGAGUGAAAGCCCGGGGCUUAACCUCGGAAUUGCUUUCAAAACUGCCAGGCUAGAGUGUAGUAGGGGAUGAUGGAAUUCCUAGUGUAGAGGUGAAAUUCUUAGAUAUUAGGAGGAACACCGGUGGCGAAGGCGGUCAUCUGGGCUACAACUGACGCUGAGGCGCGAAAGCGUGGGGAGCAAAC